GUCAAGGCCAGCUAGGCAUCUCACUACACAGAGGGAGGAGAAAUCCACGGGGAGGGCCCCAGAUAACGACUGCAUGUCCACGGGAUAUGUUGGCUAGUCCUAUUUAACUUUCAUUGGUGCUUAUCACUGGUAGUGCUUUAGAUUUAUUAUUACCGGGUAGUUUAUGUUCAUAAGUACUGUGUAUAUGUUUGUUAAAUUGUUUAACAUGAAAAUUAUUUUGACUAUUAAUUUUAUAAGCUAUAUGCCAGAGUCAUUUAUGAAUUACCUCAAAUUAAAAACAGCAAUAUAUUUUUCUGGCUAUGUUUUGUUAGGAAUUUUUCUAUUCAAGAUUCUUGCCUAUCUCAGAUCUUGCUACCUGUUCAUAUUAAGAUCUGAUUUUCUUACCUCUAUUUUGAGUGCAUUUUUCAGGCUUUUACAGUUUCCAAUUCAUUUAAUACGGUUUUGUUAUCUUAUCAGCUGUAUCUAUUGUAAUAGAAAUGAACAGGUUGUGUACAUUAUAUAGAGAACCCAUACUACUACAUAAGAUGUUACCUCCAAUUCAUGCUGUCUAGUAGGAACUCCAUUGCCAGUGCUUUUGCCAGUAAAGAAAUAUAUCUGUGUAUAACUUAGAAAUAGAUCUACUAUUAAUAAUUCAGGGUAAAGAGUCAGUGUAUCAAUGUAGAAAUUUGUCUAUCUUUGUAAUAGUUAUGGGAUAAUUUAAGAUUCUUUUUUUUAUAGAUACACAUGUAUUUCCAAUUCUAAAUUUUUAUAACCCCAUAAAAGAGAAAAAUUCCUUUACAUACUGUACAUGUAUGUAUGAAAAAUUAUUCAUAGCUGUUUUAAAAUGUAAUAUUUUUUGAAAUUAUAAAAUAUGACACGUACCCCUCUGUGUAAUUAUCAAAAUUGUAACCAACAUUUUUAUAUAAAAAGGAAAUCGUACCACUUGAACUAUUACAUUCCAUUCGCAUGAAUCUCUGCUCCUUUGUGUAGUUUGAUUCUUUGAAAGAUUCCAAUUAUUAAAUUGUAUGAAUGUAUCAAUAAUUUGAUAAAUUAAAAAAUAUUCAAUUUG
rnacentral:misc_RNA from 1 species